GUCUAUGGUCACACUACCCUGAAUGCGCCAGAUCUCCUCUGAUCUUGGAAGCUAAGCAGGGUUGGGCCUGGUUAGUACUGGGAUGGGAGACCACCUGGGAAUACCGGAUACUGUAGGCU
rnacentral:rRNA from 1 species